rnacentral:rRNA from 1 species
UACAGAGGGUGCGAGCGUUAAUCGGAGUGACUGGGCGUAAAGGGCGCGUAGGCGGUUAGAUUAGUCUGAUGUGAAAGACCUGGGCUUAACCUGGGAUGUGCAUUGGAAACGGUCUAGCUAGAGUUUGAGAGAGGGAAGUGGAAUUUCCGGUGUAGCGGUGAAAUGCGUAGAGAUCGGAAAGAACACUCGUGGCGAAGGCGACUUUCUGGCUCAAAACUGACGCUGAGGCGCGAAAGCGUGGGGAGCAAACAGG